rnacentral:rRNA from 1 species
GAGUACGGCCGCAAGGCUAAAACUCAAAGGAAUUGACGGGGCCCCGCACAAGCGGCGGAGCAUGCGGAUUAAUUCGAUGCAACGCGUAGAACCUUACCUGGGUUUGACAUGGAUCGGGAGUGCUCAGAGAUGGGUGUGCCUCUUUUGGGGUCGGUUCACAGGUGGUGCAUGGCUGUCGUCAGCUCGUGUCGUGAGAUGUUGGGUUAAGUCCCGCAACGAGCGCAACCCUUGUUCACUGUUGCCAGCACGUUAUGGUGGGGACUCAGUGGAGACCGCCGGGGUCAACUCGGAGGAAGGUGGGGAUGACGUCAAGUCAUCAUGCCCCUUAUGUCCAGGGCUUCACGCAUGCUACAAUGGCUGGUACAGAGAGUGGCGAGCCUGUGAGGGUGAGCGAAUCUCGGAAAGCCGGUCUCAGUUCGGAUUGGGGUCUGCAACUCGACCUCAUGAAGUCGGAGUCGCUAGUAAUCGCAGAUCAGCAACGCUGCGGUGAAUACGUUCCCGGGGCUUGUACACACCGCCCGUCAAGUCAUGAAAGUUGGUAACACCCGAAGCCGGUGGCCUAACCGUUGUGGGGGAGCCGUCGAAGGUGGGACUGGUGAUUAGGACUAAGUCGUAACAAGGUA